GGAGAUGUUGUUUCAACCCGUCGUGCUGCAACAUAUUUGGCCCGGAGCUAACAUCUGCAUUGUGGUUGAGUUUGAUAUACUCGUAUUGCUUUGCUGUCAUAUACUUUGGAAUAUUAUCUGAUAAAGUCUACAUACCAAGCACCUUAUCAUUAAGGCAUUUGGAUAAAAUUUUUGUUCAAUUCACGUAUCUCAUUGAAUCGUAGUCAUCAAUUCGAAAAUAUCAUGUUCAUGUGGUAACUUUCGCCAACAACCAUGAAUAGCACGAAUGAGGCUGUAGACUCCCAGUUGUUGCAGUCGAUGGCAACGCUGCUAAACCAAGUACUUGCGACAGUGACGGAGCUGCUCAGAAUUCUAUCAAAAUGAAGUGUGAUUUAUGGUUGGGUGGUUGUCCGAGCUGCUAUCUGUGGAUGCUUGAUAAAAUUGGCAGUUUUGGUGAAAAUUUAGUGCUUAAAUAUCUACAUUUGUAAUAGAUUGCUUAUUCUAUUUUUA